UUACUUUAAAUAUGGAACCCUUUGUGUUCAAGCUCUGGAAUGGAUCUGGAAUGACUUUGAAAGGGGUAAGGGAAGAAGAAGAAACGAAAAUGCUCUGAAUGGCUCUGAUACUCCACCUCUUGAAAGAAUAUCACAAUGGCAGCUUUGAAAGAAUAUCACAAUGGCUCUGAUACUCCACCUUUUGAAAGAAUAUCGGCACACGGUUUUGAAUGAAACCACCAUCCAUGGUCUGAAAAGAAUACAAGUUAUAAUUGUAAAAGUGGUCUGAAAUUGUCAAAAUAAUUGUAAAAGUUGUCGGGAAUCCUGAGUGAGUCAUGUGUCCUCCUGACAGGAGGAACCCACACACACACACAACGCACGCAACCACACACGCACACAACGCACGCACACAAACAUCACACACGCAGACACGACCU
rnacentral:lncRNA from 1 species